rnacentral:lncRNA from 1 species
AUGAUUGACACAUUGACAACAACUUAUGUGUUCAUGGAGCACGUGGCAGGAGAGGACCUUGAGAAGUACCUCAGGGCACUGGGCUGUCUGAAAGAGGAGGAGACUAGACCUGUUUUCCAGCAGGUCGUGUCAGCAGUUCACUUCCUCCACUAAGGACACAUUGCACAUCGCAAUAUUAAAUUAGAAAACAUUCUGGUCAAUGCGGCAGGAAAUGCAAAGCUUUGUGACUUUGGCAUGGCAAUUAAAACCACAGAAGGGCAGAUGUUGUAGGAGACCUGUGGCUCCGUACUCUAUAGAGUCCCAGAUAUCUUGGCAAGGAAACCCGAUGAUGGGCUGGCAGUUGUCAUGUGGAGCUUGGGCAUCAUCCUCUAUGUUCUAGUCACAGGGCACUUUCCAUAUAUAGAAGCCACCAUUGAGGGUAUGCACAGGAUCAUCACUACUACACUGUGUCCCAUUCCUUACCACUUGUCAUUUCCCUGUAACAUCAUCAUUGCAUGGUUACUUGGGGUUCCUACGUGGUACAAGAUGACAAUAUAUCAGCUUGUGGAAUGACUGUGGCUGGGCCACAUUCAAGACCAUGGACUGGUUGCCACAAAAGAAAUCCUUCCCAGGAUUGUGAACACAAUGUGCACCAUUGGCUAUAUCUGUGAAGAGAAUGUGUCAUCCUUAACAAAUAGGCGA